rnacentral:rRNA from 1 species
GUGGGGAAUUUUGGACAAUGGGCGCAAGCCUGAUCCAGCAAUGCCGCGUGCAGGAAGAAGGCCUUCGGGUUGUAAACUGCUUUUGUACGGAACGAAACGGUCCGGGUUAAUACCCUGGGCUAAUGACGGUACCGUAAGAAUAAGCACCGGCUAACUACGUGCCAGCAGCCGCGGUAAUACGUAGGGUGCAAGCGUUAAUCGGAAUUACUGGGCGUAAAGCGUGCGCAGGCGGUUUUGUAAGACAGGCGUGAAAGCCCCGGGCUCAACCUGGGAAUUGCGCUUGUGACUGCAAGGCUGGAGUGCGGCAGAGGGGGAUGGAAUUCCGCGUGUAGCAGUGAAAUGCGUAGAUAUGCGGAGGAACACCGAUGGCGAAGGCAAGCCCCUGGGCCUGCACUGACGCUCAUGCACGAAAGCGUGGGGAGCAAACAGGAUUAGAUACCCGUGUAGUCC